rnacentral:rRNA from 1 species
AGUGAACGCUGGCGGUAGGCCUAACACAUGCAAGUCGAACGGCAGCACAGUAAGAGCUUGCUCUUACGGGUGGCGAGUGGCGGACGGGUGAGGAAUACAUCGGAAUCUACUUUUUCGUGGGGGAUAACGUAGGGAAACUUACGCUAAUACCGCAUACGACCUACGGGUGAAAGCAGGGGAUCUUCGGACCUUGCGCGAUUGAAUGAGCCGAUGUCGGAUUAGCUAGUUGGCGGGGUAAAGGCCCACCAAGGCGACGAUCCGUAGCUGGUCUGAGAGGAUGAUCAGCCACACUGGAACUGAGACACGGUCCAGACUCCCACGGGAGGCAGCAGUGGGGAAUAUUGGACAAUGGGCGCAAGCCUGAUCCAGCCAUACCGCGUGGGUGAAGAAGGCCUUCGGGUUGUAAAGCCCUUUUGUUGGGAAAGAAAAGCAGCAGGUUAAUACCCCGCUGUUCUGACGGUACCCAAAGAAUAAGCACCGGCUAACUUCGU